rnacentral:lncRNA from 1 species
GACUGUCGGAUCGUACGACAGUCGGGACGUCGACUUAAAAUCGAAGCUCGCUCUGCCUUUACCGUGGCGCGUGUUACCGACUGUCCCGGCUAGCUACCUGAGAUCUUAUCGAACGUCCUAGCUAGGUACGUCGGGCCUACGACUUAUACGCUCGAGGGCGUUCCGACGAAACAUACAUUCCAAGACACAUUUUAGGAUAUGCAAAGAAAGAGAGAU